UGGGGAAUUUUGGACAAUGGGGGCAACCCUGAUCCAGCAAUGCCGCGUGAGUGAAGAAGGCCUUCGGGUUGUAAAGCUCUUUUGUCAGGGAAGAAACAGCAGCUCUAACACAGCUGUGAAUGACGGUACCUGAAGAAUAAGCACCGGCUAACUACGUGCCAGCAGCCGCGGUAAUACGUAGGGUGCAAGCGUUAAUCGGAAUUACUGGGCGUAAAGCGUGCGCAGGCGGUUAUACAAGACAGGCGUGAAAUCCCCGGGCUUAACCUGGGAAUUGCGUCUGUGACUGUAUGGCUAGAGUGUGUCAGAGGGGGGUAGAAUUCCACGUGUAGCAGUGAAAUGCGUAGAUAUGUGGAGGAAUACCAAUGGCGAAGGCAGCCCCCUGGGAUAACACUGACGCUCAUGCACGAAAGCGUGGGGAGCAAACAGGAUUAGAUACCCUGGUAGUCCACGCCCUAAACGAUGCUGACUAGUUGUUCGGGAUUUUAUCCUGAGUAACGUAGCUAACGCGUGAAGUCAGCCGCCUGGGGAGUACGGUCGCAAGAUUA
rnacentral:rRNA from 1 species